rnacentral:ncRNA from 1 species
AAAUGUGUUAGCAAAGAAAAUAGUAUGGCUGGGUAACGUUUUUUAGAGAGUCUGUGGUUGGUGGAAACAGAUAGCGACCUUGCUUGAAUGGGUUCUUUGGCAUCAUUUGUGAAUAUGGAAGUAGCAAAUGACGGGUUAGACCGUUAACUCUGGUUAAAAAAUCAUAUAUUCUUGUUGGAAGCUAUAGAUUGCGCUUUACACAAAUCGAGCGAAAGCGUUUGUAUUCUGGGAGUUUGGUGGAACCCGGAAGCGGAGUGUACGACUGUACAUGAGAACCGGAAGUCCGCCAAACUCCCAGAAUGCGAGCGCUUGUCGCCGAUUUAUUCGGAUUGUAGAGCUAGCUUAUUAGGGUGGUACCGCGGAUAUACGUUCGUCCCUAUU